GCUCAGAUUGAACGCUGGCGGCAGGCCUAACACAUGCAAGUCGAACGGUAGCACAGAGGAGCUUGCUCCUUGGGUGACGAGUGGCGGACGGGUGAGUAAUGUCUGGGAAACUGCCCGAUGGAGGGGGAUAACUACUGGAAACGGUAGCUAAUACCGCAUAACGUCGCAAGACCAAAGAGGGGGACCUUCGGGCCUCUUGCCAUCGGAUGUGCCCAGAUGGGAUUAGCUAGUAGGUGGGGUAACGGCUCACCUAGGCGACGAUCCCUAGCUGGUCUGAGAGGAUGACCAGCCACACUGGAACUGAGACACGGUCCAGACUCCUACGGGAGGCAGCAGUGGGGAAUAUUGCACAAUGGGCGCAAGCCUGAUGCAGCCAUGCCGCGUGUAUGAAGAAGGCCUUCGGGUUGUAAAGUACUUUCAGCGAGGAGGAAGGUGUUGUGGUUAAUAACCGCAGCAAUUGACGUUACUCGCAGAAGAAGCACCGGCUAACUCCGUGCCAGCAGCCGCGGUAAUACGGAGGGUGCAAGCGUUAAUCGGAAUUACUGGGCGUAAAGCGCACGCAGGCGGUCUGUCAAGUCGGAUGUGAAAUCCCCGGGCUCAACCUGGGAACUGCAUCCGAAACUGGCAGGCUAGAGUCUUGUAGAGGGGGGUAGAAUUCCAGGUGUAGCGGUGAAAUGCGUAGAGAUCUGGAGGAAUACCGGUGGCGAAGGCGGCCCCCUGGACAAAGACUGACGCUCAGGUGCGAAAGCGUGGGGAGCAAACAGGA
rnacentral:rRNA from 1 species